rnacentral:rRNA from 1 species
CCUGGCUCAGGACGAACGCUGGCGGCGCGCCUAACACAUGCAAGUCGAACGAGAGAUGAGGAGCUUGCUCUUCAAAUCGAGUGGCGAACGGGUGAGUAACGCGUGAGGAACCUGCCUCAAAGAGGGGGACAACAGUUGGAAACGACUGCUAAUACCGCAUAAGCCCACAGCUCGGCAUCGAGCAGAGGGAAAAGGAGUGAUCCGCUUUGAGAUGGCCUCGCGUCCGAUUAGCUGGUUGGUGAGGUAACGGCCCACCAAGGCGAUGAUCGGUAGCCGGACUGAGAGGUUGAACGGCCACAUUGGGACUGAGACACGGCCCAGACUCCUACGGGAGGCAGCAGUGGGGAAUAUUGCACAAUGGGGGAAACCCUGAUGCAGCGACGCCGCGUGGAGGAAGAAGGUCUUCGGAUUGUAAACUCCUGUUGUUGAGGAAGAUAAUGACGGUACUCAACAAGGAAGUGACGGCUAACUACGUGCCAGCAGCCGCGGUAAAACGUAGGUCACAAGCGUUGUCCGGAAUUACUGGGUGUAAAGGGAGCGCAGGCGGGAGAACAAGUUGGAAGUGAAAUCCAUGGGCUCAACCCAUGAACUGCUUUCAAAACUGCUUUUCUUGAGUAGUGCAGAGUAGGCGGAAUUCCCGGUGUAGCGGUGGAAUGCGUAGAUAUCGGGAGGAACACCAGUGGCGAAGGCGGCCUACUGGGCACCAACUGACGCUGAGGCUCGAAAGUGUGGGUAGCAAACAGGAUUAGAUACCCUGGUAGUCCACACCGUAAACGAUGAUUACUAGGUGUUGGAGGAUUGACCCCUUCAGUGCCGCAGUUAACACAAUAAGUAAUCCACCUGGGGAGUACGACCGCAAGGUUGAAACUCAAAGGAAUUGACGGGGGCCCGCACAAGCAGUGGAGUAUGUGGUUUAAUUCGACGCAACGCGAAGAACCUUACCAAGUCUUGACAUCCCUUGACGAACAUAGAAAUAUGUUUUCUCUUCGGAGCAAGGAGACAGGUGGUGCAUGGUUGUCGUCAGCUCGUGUCGUGAGAUGUUGGGUUAAGUCCCGCAACGAGCGCAACCCUUAUGGUCAGUUACUACGCAAGAGGACUCUGGCCAGACUGCCGUUGACAAAACGGAGGAAGGUGGGGAUGACGUCAAAUCAUCAUGCCCUUUAUGACUUGGGCUACACACGUACUACAAUGGCGUUAAACAAAGAGAAGCAAGACCGCGAGGUGGAGCAAAACUCAGAAACAACGUCCCAGUUCGGACUGCAGGCUGCAACUCGCCUGCACGAAGUCGGAAUUGCUAGUAAUCGUGGAUCAGCAUGCCACGGUGAAUACGUUCCCGGGCCUUGUACACACCGCCC